GACGAACGCUGGCGGCGUGCCUAAUACAUGCAAGUCGAACGCAGUGGCGGACGGGUGAGUAACACGUGGGUAACCUACCCAUCAGAGGGGGAUAACAGUUGGAAACGACUGCUAAUACCGCAUACUGAAGGAGGGGAUUGCGUCUGAUUAGCUAGUUGGAGGGGUAACGGCCUACCAAGGCAAUGAUGCAUAGCCGACCUGAGAGGGUAAUCGGCCACAUUGGGACUGAGACACGGCCCAAACUCCUACGGAGGCAGCAGUAGGGAAUCUUCCGCAAUGGGCGCAAGCCUGACGGAGCAACGCCGCGUGAGUGAAGAAGGUUUUCGGAUCGUAAAGCUCUGUUGUAAGAGAAGCGGUAUCUUACCAGAAAGCCACGGCUAACUACGUGCCAGCAGCCGCGGUAAUAC
rnacentral:rRNA from 1 species